rnacentral:rRNA from 1 species
AACGCGAAGAACCUUACCUACCCUUGACAUGGUCGGAAGCCUGGAGAGAUCCGGGCGUGCUCGAAAGAGAACCGACACACAGGUGCUGCAUGGCUGUCGUCAGCUCGUGUCGUGAGAUGUUGGGUUAAGUCCCGCAACGAGCGCAACCCUUGUCAUUAGUUGCUACAUUUGGUUGGGCACUCUAAUGAGACUGCCGGUGACAAACCGGAGGAAGGUGGGGAUGACGUCAAGUCCUCAUCGCCAUUCUCGGUAGGGCUUCCCACGUCAUACAAUGGCACAUACCGAGGGCCGCCCACCCGCCAGGGCGAGAUCAUCCCACAAACUGUACCGUCGUCCGGCUUCCAGUCUGCAACCCGACUGCAUGACGCUGGCAUGGACAGCCAUAGCGCACCAGCCUGCCGAGCCGAAUAAGUUCCACGGGUANUUUACUANACCG